rnacentral:tRNA from 1 species
GGAGUUGUGGCUCAGAGGUAGAGCGCCUACCUAGCAUGUGUGAGGCACUGGGUUCAAUCCUCAGCACCA